GACGAACGCUGGCGGCGUGCUUAACACAUGCAAGUCGAACGGAAAGGCCCUGCUUUUGUGGGGUGCUCGAGUGGCGAACGGGUGAGUAACACGUGAGUAACCUGCCCUUGACUUUGGGAUAACUUCAGGAAACUGGGGCUAAUACCGGAUAGGAGCUCCUGCUGCAUGGUGGGGGUUGGAAAGUUUCGGCGGUUGGGGAUGGACUCGCGGCUUAUCAGCUUGUUGGUGGGGUAGUGGCUUACCAAGGCUUUGACGGGUAGCCGGCCUGAGAGGGUGACCGGCCACAUUGGGACUGAGAUACGGCCCAGACUCCUACGGGAGGCAGCAGUGGGGAAUAUUGCACAAUGGGCGGAAGCCUGAUGCAGCAACGCCGCGUGCGUGAUGACGUCCUUCGGGUUGUAAACCGCUUUCGCCUGUGACGAAGCGUGAGUGACGGUAAUGGGUAAAGAAGCACCGGCUAACUACGUG
rnacentral:rRNA from 1 species